ACUGAAUAGAUACCCGGGUAGUCCACGCCGUAAACGUUGGGCGCUAGGUGUGGGGCUCUUUCCACGAGUUCCGUGCCGCAGCAAAACGCAUUAAGCGCCCCGCCUGGGGAGUACGGCCGCAAGGCUAAAACUCAAAGGAAUUGACGGGGGCCCACACAAGCGGCGGAGCAUGCGGAUUAAAUUCGAUGCAACGCGAAGAACCUUACCAAGGCUUGACAUACGCAGAAAACCGGCAGAGAUGUCGGGUCCGUAAGGGCUGUGUACAGGUGGUGCAUGGUUGUCGUCAGCUCGUGUCGUGAGAUGUUGGGUUAAGUCCCGCAACGAGCGCAACCCUCGUUCCAUGUUGCCAGCACGUAAUGGUGGGGACUCAUGGGAGACUGCCGGGGUCAACUCGGGGGAAGGUGGGGAUGACGUCAAAUCAUCAUGCCCCUUAUGUCUUGGGCUUCACGCAUGCUACAAUGGCCAGUACAAAGGGCUGCGAGACCGUAAGGUGGAGCGAAUCCCAAAAAGCUGGUCUCAGUUCGGAUCGGGGUCUGCAACUC
rnacentral:rRNA from 1 species